rnacentral:lncRNA from 1 species
UGUCAUACUUUAAUGAUUAUGAUACAUUUAAUGAUUGUAUACUUUUACACAAUAUAACACCAUUAGCAAAAUGGUGAAAAUUUAAAUAGAACUUCUAGGUCCAAAAAGCAGUAUAUUUAGAAAAUAUAUACAGUAUACUCGCGGUAAUGUGAACUUUUUUAUGAACAACUCAUUCAUGUGAACACCAAUAUUUUUCUAUGUUAAUUCUAUAGUGUGAACAAACCCAUAUUUCGAUAAUGUGAAUUUUAAGAAAUCUUUAGUAAUCCUGUGUAGACUUGUCUAGGCUUGUUAGUGGAUAUUGGGUUUACGCAUUUGAAACAUUGUUUGGUCAUUUACUUGAUGUUAGAUAAGAGAGAGUGUCGCAUCUUGCGCAGUGGCCUUUUAAAAUGGUUAAAAUUAAUAAGAAGUGUUUAAUUCUUUAUGAGAAAUCAAAAAUUUUGGAAGUGCACAAAUAUGGUAUGAGUGUUACUGCACUAGCAGAGAAAUAUCAAAUAGCAAAAUCAACUAUUUGUGCAAUUAAAAAUAAAGAAGAAAAAAUUCUAAAAGUUGUUGGAGAGAGUUUAAGACCUAAUAAAAUAAAAAAAUGCACUUUAAAAAGUGCAGAAAACCCCAAGAUGGAAACUUUGCUGUAUAAAUGGUUUACCAAACAGCAAGAACGAAAUUUGCCAGUUAUGGGUGAUAUGCGUAAUGAAAAGGUUAUAGAUUUACAUAACUCAACGAUAAAUUUAAUGCAGGAGAUGGAUGGCUUUAAAAAUUUAAAUGGAGAUAUGGUAUAAGGCUGCUUAAAAUUGCAGGUGAAAAGUUGUCCUCACAGCCUCACCUUGUAAAUCCCUUUAUUGAAGGCUUAAGAAAAAAGAUAAAGCAGCUUAAUCUUAGUGAAGAUCAAAUUUAUAAUGCAGAUGAGACGGGUUUAUAUUGGAGGUUAUUUCCAGAUAAAACCUAUGUUGCAAUUUUUGAAAAAACGGCGCCUGGUCUAAAAAUAGCUAAACAAAGAAUAACUCUUUUGGGGUGCACAAAUGCUACAGGAUCACACAAAAUAACGCAUCUAGUACUAGGAAAAGCAAAAUCACCCAGAUGUUUUAAAGUAUUUGAUAAUCCAGUCAUCUUAUAGAUGAUGAAGCAGUUAUAGAACUUACAAGCUCUUAUAGACGAUGAAGCACUAAAAAUGCCUGGAUGACACACGAAAUUUUUAAAAAAAUUAAAAAUUUUUGGUUUUUAAGCAUUUUGUUCCAGAGGUUAAAUCAUUUUUACAAAGCAAAAACCUUCCUUUAAAAGCCCUUCUCCUGUUAGACAAUGCCCCUUUGCAUCCACCGGCAGAAGAAUGAAAAACUUUUGAUGGACACAUUUUUGUUGUCUAGAUGCCCCCAAAUGUUACACCAUUAAUUCAACCAUUAGACCAAAAUGUUUUGCGAAUAACCAAACUAUUUUACAGAAAAGGCCUAUUAAGUUCAAUUGUAUCAUAGGGUCAAGGAGUAGCUGAGGCUCUAAAAGUUAUAACUUUAAGAGAUGCUAUUAUGCAAUUGCAUAUGGCCUGGCAAAAAAUAGAGCCUUUAGUAAUUUCAAAAUGUUGGAAUAAUAUUUUGGAAAAAAAUUUGGAGGAGGAUGGCCUACCUUUAGCUUGACUAAAAGAGAUGUGGGAAAAUGAUGUUAGACCAGCUGCAGUUAAUGAAACCAUUACAUUGCUUCAAACAAUUGAACAGAUUGAUUAUAAUCCCAAAGAUAUUGAGGAAUGGAAUACAGAUGCAGUGGAGGAAAAUCUCAAUAGCAAUGAUUCAGAAAAUAGUGACUGCGAGAUAUUAACUUUUGAAGAAAAAAAAGUUACGCAUUUCGAGGCUCUUGCAGCCUUGGAAAUUGUCACACAAUGGGCCAAUCAAAACUAUGUUGACAUAAAGGUCAUUAUUACACUAAAAGGUUUAAAAGAAGAGGCUGAAGCCUUAAACCUGUCGCAAAAAAAAGUGCAAACAAAAAUUACAUCUUUUUUUAAAUAAAACUUUUGUAUAAUGCUUAAAACUGUAAUAAAUAAAUACAAACAUAAAUAAAGUACAAUGUAGUUCCCUUUUUUUAAUA